rnacentral:rRNA from 1 species
CAGCCGUAAACUAUGCUCGCUAGGUGUCAGGGACGGUGCGACCGUUUCUGGUGCCGCAGGGAAGCCGUGAAGCGAGCCACCUGGGAAGUACGGUCGCAAGGCUGAAACUUAAAGGAAUUGGCGGGGGAGCACUACAACGGGUGGAGCCUGCGGUUUAAUUGGACUCAACGCCGGAAAACUCACCGGGGGCGACAGCAAUAUGUAGGUCAAGCUAAAGACUCUGCUAGAUUUUCAGAGAGGUGGUGCAUGGCGUCAGUGACU